rnacentral:rRNA from 1 species
GAUGAACGCUGACAGGAUGCUUAACACAUGCAAGUCUUUGGCGAAGCUGUGCUUGCACAGCCUAGCCAAGGCGGACGGGUGAGUAACGCGUAAGGAACUUGCCCUGCAGUCAGGGAUAACAGACGGAAACGACUGAUAAGACCUGGUAAAGUCAGGCGGACUCAUGUCCAGCCUGAUGAAAAGAGAUGCUGCAGGAGAGCCUUGCGUCCUAUUAGCUUGUUGGUGGGGUAACGGCCCACCAAGGCGAUGAUAGGUAGCCGGCCUGAGAGGGUGGACGGCCACAAGGGGACUGAGAUGCGGCCCUUACUCCUACGGGAGGCAGCAGUGGGGAAUAUUGGACAAUGGGGGCAACCCUGAUCCAGCAAUUCUGUGUGCACGAUGAAGGUUUUCGGAUUGUAAAGUGCUUUCAGCAGGGAAGAAAAAAAUGACGGUACCUGCAGAAGAAGCGACGGCUAAAUACGUG